rnacentral:lncRNA from 1 species
AUGGGCUCGGGGCUUAGCCCGUGCUCCGGAAGCGGAAGGAGGGGCCGCGGGUGGCUCUCGGCUAGAGCGGCGGAAGGGGAAGGGCAAGGUCGAGGCGGGGUGGGGGGCAGGGUAGGGCAUGACUUUAUAUCGGAAUCCCUCCGUGUGGAGUCGGUACCGCCGCAUCCUGGGCGUCGCCGGGUUCGCGGCCGUGAUGACGGUGGUGUUGUACCCCAUCUGCAUCCGUCCCUUGAUGAACGCCGACGACUACAAAAAACUGCAAGCAAAAAAUCGAACUUAUUAUACAAAAGAAAAUGUGCCUCCAGAUGUAUUCAAGGGUGAGAAUGAAGAAAGUGGAAGAACGAAGUAACACUUUCACGGAUUUGUUGAAAAACAUUGACGGGAGCAGUUCUCAAAGGACCCUUCUUGUUUUCAACAAGUUUUUUUCUGGACACUUAAGGGGAGUAUGAUUCUCACUCAGAGAGCACAGAGGUGGUGAAAUCUGAAACUCAAGAUUUGCCAGCACUAUGAGCUGAGCAUUUCGCUUCAAAUAUUUAUGUACAUGCUCAGAAGAUGUGAACUUUGGGAACAGAAACAAUAGCCAUGAGACCCAAAGAGGACUGCUGGAGACAGCUGAAAGUAUAAACUGCCAGAAAUGUUAGCUUAUUGAGCUUGUGGGGGAUGGGUGGGAAGAGGGGUUAUAACUAGAAAUCAGAUCUGCAGAGCAACAAGAAACUGACAGUCAGGCCAUGUAUUCUCUAGGUCCCUUAGUUGGUCUUGGUUAACAUGACAGAGCUACAUUCUCUUGGGAUGAAACCACAAAUUAAAGCAGACCCACCCCUGCCCCCAAAUGGCAAGAGUACUGUGUUGGUUUCCUUAUUUACACUUAAGCAAAAUGGGGCAGAUGCUAUUAGUUCAUUUAGCCUAGGUGUCCUUAAUGAAACUGAACAAAGACCAAUUUAGGAUGGUUCUUUGUUUUCUAUCUUUCCACUUUCCUACACAAUAGAUAAUAACAGAGUAGCUGCAAUAGAAUGCUGUUGCCUCUGCUGUUAGGAGGCUGUGGUAUCCACACUGGGGGAUACACUGGAAACCAUUUCAUUUUGGCAACUAUGAAGUCUGAACAGGAAUGUUCGUUGUCCUUUUCCAAAUUAAAACAGAAACAAUUAACUGAGAGCUCUGGAGUUUACCAUAAAUAAAAACAAAGUCUUCAACUGGAAAGUUGUGUUA